rnacentral:rRNA from 1 species
ACGGGUGAGUAACACGUGGGCAACCUGCCUCACAAUGAGGGAUAGCCCUCCGAAAGGAGGAUUAAUACCUCAUAACACAAGAGAAACGCAUGUUUCUCUUGCCAAAGAAUUUCGUUGUGAGAUGGGCCCGCGGCGCAUUAGCUUGUUGGUGAGGUAACGGCUCACCAAGGCUUCGAUGCGUAGCCGACCUGAGAGGGUGAUCGGCCACAUUGGAACUGAGACACGGUCCAGACUCCUACGGGAGGCAGCAGUGGGGAAUAUUGCACAAUGGAGGAAACUCUGAUGCAGCAACGCCGCGUGAGUGAUGAAGGUCUUCGGAUUGUAAAGCUCUGUCUUCUGGGACGAUAAUGACGGUACCAGAGGAGGAAGCCACGGCUAACUACGUGCCAGCAGCCGCGGUAAUACGUAGGUGGCAAGCGUUGUCCGGAUUUACUGGGCGUAAAGGAUGUGUAGGCGGAUAUUUAAGUGAGAUGUGAAAUCCCCGGGCUUAACUUGGGGGCUGCAUUUCAAACUGGAUGUCUAGAGUGCAGGAGAGGAAAGCAGAAUUCCUAGUGUAGCGGUGAAAUGCGUAGA